rnacentral:snRNA from 1 species
AGCUUUGUGCAGUGGCAGUAUCGUAGCCAGUGAGAUUUAUCGGAGGCGUGAUCACUGCUAAUUGAAAACUUUUCUAUAAAGGAACUGGUCUGUAGUUAAAAAAAAAAAAAAAAUCAAUGUCACAAAGGAC